CUCCUGAACCCCUCCACUGCUCAUGUUGAAGAAAUACGAGAUAUCACCAAUCAACUUAAUGCAAUCUCUCUGGAAAAAACAGCACAUAUCCUUACCAAACUGAAACUGAGAACGUACACCCAAGGUAAUAGAGCUGGGAAACAUUUGGCCACUCUGCUUAAAAAACAACAGGCAAAUUCAAAAAUCCCGCACCUAAUUACUGCCCAAGACAAAAAAAUAUAUAACCCG